CCAUCGGAUUCUUAACAGACGGAAUGGGUCUGCCAAGAAUCUCUCGGUGCGGACCACGAAGAGUUUUUCGUCUUCAAUAUUCAUGCGCCCAUCUACGGGACUACGGCUGAGAACAGGAAUGCUACGAGAAAGAAAACGCGUUUUCUUAUUCAGGAUCUUUUAACUCCAGACUACAUUCUGACGAAAGCGUUUCGCAAGGAUGGCCCUUCCCUUGGUUUGGAAUUUGACUCUUCCGUCGGGCGCGUUUUGCCGUCCUACAGGUGUACUCCAGAUACUUGGCUCUUGUAUUGCUUUAUUAUAAGCACGAUUAUUUGUGUAACAGGUAGUUCUUGUUUAUUCAUAGUUUUGAUGAUCGCUAGGUGAAUUAUUACUUGUUCUGCCUGAUAAUUGAAGUUGAAAUUUCAUGAAAGUGUUAUUAGGGUGUCCUCGUAUGAUUCUUGAUGCUUGUAAAUUAAACUUGUUAAGAUCUCUUUUUUUCUUUUUCUUUUUUUUUUUAAGUAAACGAAGAUCUCUGUUUUUCUACUCGGGGUAGGAUGGCAACGUUAUCAUGUUAUAAAUCUACUCGGAGGUUACUCAAGAAUGACAGUUUCUAGUACGGGCAAUACCAGGCAAUUCCUCGGGGGGCGAGCCAGUUGUUUGCCACAUUGUAGUGCAGCUUGUAUCCUCUUUUUGCCUUCCUGAUUGGUUUUGAGGUUCUAUUUCUGCUAUGCACUUCUCGUUUGGGUUCGUUGUUGUAUCCAAUUUGCAGAUAAUUACUGAUCUCCUAGAGGACAAGCUAUCACUCUCAGAACUUCCAUUGCGUUCAUUUAACUUGAUAUGCAAUAUUCUAAAGCUACUUUUUUUUGUAAUGAUAACUAUGAUGAACUGCAGUAGAGAAAAUGAUCAGGAGUUUGCUUGGACAAUACCUAAAUAAUUCUCGUCACAAUAAAAGCUUUAAAAUCUCGUCGUUAUACAUGUGGCAGGUGGCCUUAAUUCAAGCCUGCAUGUUUGCUCGGUACAUGGCAAGCCAAGCUAGAAUGGAGCACAUGUACAGAGGAGUGCACUGGACAAUUUGGAAGAGGUGGCAAACCAUAAGCUUUUAACCUAGGAAGAGGAAGAAAAGUUCCAAGAACUGCCCAUCAGAGGGAGAUGGAACCAACACCUCUAAAUGGAGAGCAAUCGACCUGUUGAAGAUUUGUACUGUAUUUUGAGAUAAUAGUUCUCACAAGACGCUUUAUUUGGAGAGGGUUUAUAUAUUACUAGCUGAAACCAAUCAUAGGCCAUGUGUUUUUUGGUACAUAAGCACCUUUUUUUAAUUCUCUAUUAAAAUUCCAAUAUUCAUAGAGGGAUACUUUA